rnacentral:misc_RNA from 1 species
ACAUGAACCCGGCAGCCCAGCUGUCCGGUCGGGGGCCCCUCAGGGGGCCCUGUCUGCACCCUAUGUCGUUGUAGUACCUCGCGUUUCCUCGGCGGGCUCGCCCGCCAACGGGGACCUCAAUCAAAACCUUUUGAAGUACCUGCAGUAAACGUCUCACAAACAAUUAAAUCA